GACCUGGCUCAGGGUGAACGCUAGCUACAGGCUUAACACAUGCAAGUCGAGGGGAAACGACAUCGAAAGCUUGCUUUUGAUGGGCGUCGACCGGCGCACGGGUGAGUAACGCGUAUCCAACCUGCCCACCACUUGGGGAUAACCUUGCGAAAGUAAGACUAAUACCCAAUGACAUCCCACGAAGACAUCUGAAUGGGAUUAAAGAUUUAUCGGUGAUGGAUGGGGAUGCGUCUGAUUAG
rnacentral:rRNA from 1 species